rnacentral:rRNA from 1 species
UACGAAGGGGGCUAGGGUUGCUCGGAAUCACUGGGCGUAAAGGGUGCGUAGGCGGGUCUUUAAGUCAGGGGUGAAAUCCUGGAGCUCAACUCCAGAACUGCCUUUGAUACUGAGGAUCUUGAGUACGGGAGAGGUGAGUGGAACUGCGAGUGUAGAGGUGAAAUUCGUAGAUAUUCGCAAGAACACCAGUGGCGAAGGCGGCUCACUGGCCCGUAACUGACGCUGAGGCACGAAAGCGUGGGGAGCAAACAGG